UGCGUGCGUGAAGAAGCUGUGUUACCAUCUCUCGCUGCUGAAACGUCAAAUUGUCAGCCAGCAAGUGUAGCAGCCACCGCAAGAUCGCAUGACGAAACUGAGAAUGUUAUAACUUCCUCUCACUCAUCCGCCGGUUUUUAUGAUUCACAGGUAGUUUUGAAGGCAGAAAUUUCCCCCCAAGAAGAAUUGGCGUCCUCAAUUAAUCCAACAAUGCUUGAAGCAAAGAACUCGGAAGAUAAAAUGGCAGCAGUAGCUAGUGAUGCACCCAAAUCUGCAGAACUUUCAAAAACGGAAAGAAGUGAACUGCCAGAAAGCACUCAACUUAAUGGGGAAGUAGAAACCAUUGCUGGUAAGAAUAUCCCUUUUUUAGCAGAAAUAGUCAGUCCCGAGUCUAGAAAAGCAGACAACCCUAAAUAUGCUGAAGCUUUACAAAGCUCUGAGAACAUGCCCUUACCAAGUGAAUGCAUAAAUUCAGAAACUCUAUCUACAGCCGAGAAUAUCUCCGCAUGUUCUCCUUCUGAAACAUCCUGUAAAAUUUCCUCAGAUUCAUCUGCAAGCGUAGUUUGCAAGUCCGAAAUCAGCCUGUCCUUAAAAUCACCGGACAUAGAAAAUUCAAGCGAAAUUGAAACUGUGGAUGAAGUUAGUAGUCUAAAGCCUGUCGUUGAAGGUGACUCUUUGGGAGCAGAGCAGCCUGCAAAAGAAACCACCAACAUCCAAAAAUCUGAAUCCCUCAGUGGAGAAGAUGAGUUCAAAGUCUCUGAGUCGGAUACUGUUGAGUCAGUUUCUAUUUCCAAGAGCAGAAUACCAGGCGAAAAUAAUGUAGUACUUGAAACAAAUGUUGUUGAAAAAAUUAAAAUACCCCAUUGUGAAAACUUAUCAACCAGCAAUGUAGAAAGCUCUGAACAAGCUGAAAGAAAUGACCCGGAGCCAACUACGGCUCUUGAAUCUACUAGAAAAGUAGAAUAUAAAUCGGAUAAUACUGAUGUGAUUGGUGGAAUGGACUGUAAUAAAGCUGUCCAAGAUCUCAUUACACCCCACAGUGAAACCUCUAGUCCAGAAUUAAUCCCCCUCGACGAACCCCAUAUUCCUUCAGCAGAGGAGGAUCCAAGUCAAAAAUCCUCUCCAACUUUGAGUGCUAAAGAGGAAGAAGUGUCAGUCUCAAAAUUAGAUAACCAACAACGCACCGCAUCUAUCAUUGUUGAACAGUUACCCCUUGAAGAAGGCAACCUUAAUCUCAGCUUAGUAGCAGAAAAAUCUACCGAUGGUGAAGUUCCUAAACCUGCUGAAGAGAAAUCAGGUUCUACUGAAAAGCCCGUGAAAUCGGUAAAUGACCGACAGGAUUUACCUGUGGCAGAGAGAGAAACUUUUGAAAAUGACAGUGUCCAGGUCCCUUCUACUUCCGAGAAGUGUGCCCAUGAUGUUAGCUCAAUCCCCGAUGUUACCAGCAAUCUAAGUAUAAUUAGUGACCAAAUUAAAGAAAACCCGGAAAAAGGAAAUAGUGCGAACAAAUUUGAGAUCACAGAACCAAAACCUCCAAAAGAUUUAUCAGAGUCUGAGGAAAACCACUCAAACUUCUCAAUCCAGUCUGAUCCCCCAAAUGUAACAUCAGAUACCACGACUCAGGAGGACCUUACCAUCGACAUCUCUAAAUCUGUUUCUGAAGCCGUGACCAGCGAAGAUCCUAAAAGUGUAUCCUGCAAUGAAGUAUCUGAGUGCAAAGAUGCAGGCUAUAUUGCUGAAAACCUGAAUGAGCCACAAAUGCCUUUGAAAUCUGUAUUUGAAGUCCAGAACUCAGUGGCUACACCAGAGGAGUUUCCAGAACCUGACAGUAUUUCUAUUCCUGAACCUGUUGGUGUGGUAGAUUCUGAAAACUGUGCUGAGAUAUCUAACAAAUCGGUCGAAGUCUCAAAUGUUGAAUUCACUGAAACGACAUACUCUGCAAUAAGUUUUGAAAAAUCUGAUAUUCUUAAUAAAACAUAUGAAAAAUCAUUUACUGCCACUAGCUCUAGAAAGAUGCAAAGCCAAAAUCCUGAGACCAUUUUGAAGGAAGCAAAUGCCUCAAAAUCAGAAGAUAUUGAGCCCAGAUCUAAAAUUCAUGACCUCAAUAAAAUGAACAGUCUCGAUUUCAAAAACAGUGAAGAAAAAAUCCAAGAAGCCACUGAAAUUUUAGAACCUUCAGCUGCUGAAUGCAUCACGAAAGUCCAUACAUUGGAGGAUGACAAUCCUUGUGAAAAAACUGAGGAUUCCAAAACCACUGAUGAUAAUGAAACAGACGAAGAAGGAGCAUUGUGCAUCACAGACUGCAAGAUCGUUGAGGUCAAAAAUCCAGAAGAGGAAAAACAAUUGGAAACCCCACCAGUUACUGAAGAAAUUACUAAGCAGAAUGCAGAAGAUAAUAUCGUCGAUAGCGAAGUGAUGGAAAAAGACUGCGAAAUUGAAGAAUCAGAAAUGGUUCAGUCUGAUGAUGAAUCCCUUGGGGCAGACGAACUCACAAACGAUUCGGAAUACUCAAAUUCAGGAGCCAUUGAGAGUACGUUGACCCAAACUGAUUCAGGACCAAUGGAAAUCCAAAAGCUAUCACCAGAGCAGCUGAAAGAAAUCAUUGGAGGAGAUGUGAGUGAAGUGCGAUCGGAGUCUGAAGAAAGUCAGGAUGUAGUUAAAAAUUUAGCAUCAGAAUUCGACAAAGUUAGGAAUUUCGUAUCAGUGAAGGAGAUCACCACAUCCUCAUUGAAGAUCAAGAUCACCACUAACACUGGACUGAAGACAAAUUCCGAGAGUAAUAUGGAAUUGCAAGGUCAUACUUCUGCAACAGUAUCGCGCAGCUGUUCUAUUGACAGUGAGAGCACAUCUCAAUCUAUUGAUAAUGCAACUUCUGAAUCAGACAGAACUCAAUCAGCAGCGGUAAGUCGAUCUAGCUCUAUUGAAAGUGAAGCAAGCAUACUUUAUAGUGACAAAGGUAUCAAAACACCAGCUUCAAUCAGCCGAACAAGCUCCACCAGCAGUGACAGUUCUGUCUCCAGCGAGCUGAGCCGCCUAAAAUCAUCUGGUGUAGACGCCUCAAUUUUACCUCACCCUGAAUACAAGAACAAAAUCAAGGUUGACCUUCGCAACAACCAAAUCAUUUCCCAUGAGGCUGGAAAAUUCCCAAUGAAAAUUACCACGGAGGCAUCUUGCCCGGCCAAGAUCUUUAUGAAAUCAGCAACAAAACCAGAGCCAGGAUCUUCAAAAUGGCGUGCUAUAGAACCAGUAACUACAGACUGUAAAGUAAUUCUAAAAUCCAUCGAUACUGACAGUAAAGAAUCCAUGACCCCAAAACGUGGCAGAAGAAAAGCAACCAUGAAUGUUAAUGAUAGCAUUGAUGGCCAAAGUUUUCCUGAUAAAUUAAUGCCGAGGCGCGGGCGGCCGAAGAAGGUAUCAGAGGUGGAGCCGCAAGUCAAAUUAUCCAAACUUACAACAGAAAUUAUUAAUGCUGGAGAAGGAGGAAGUGCGUUAAACUCCUGCGGAAAUGAGAAUAGUGAUAUUUUAAACAAGGAGCCUGAUGCAGUGGGAGAUUUGGAGGCAAACUACAAAGUACCGAACGAAUUGAUGGAUGGCAGUUUCAUAGAUGAAACCCCAGUGAAGAGUCCAUUUGUCUCACUGCUGACUACAGAUUCUGAUGCGACACCAGGUUCUGGUGAGCCCACAAAGCGGAAACGAGGUCGUCCGCGUAAAAUCAAAGUUGAAGAUGGCAAUCUCUCUACCCUACAAGGAACUCCCGUGAAAGGAAAAAGAGGACCAAAACCGAAGAUCAACCUCGAUGACCCUAAUGACCCCCGGGCUGUAGCUGAAAGAGAACGGUUGGCUGAGCAAGCAAGGCUUCGUCAAGAAGCUGCUGAAAAGAAAUGGCGAGAGGAAGAAGAGCGUAAACAAAGGGAGGAAGAGGAACGCAAGAAACGAGAAGAGGAAGAACGAAUUAGGCGCGAAGUAGAAGAAAAGAAACGGCUUGAAGAGGAGGAAAGACUCAAAGAAGAAGCCCUGAAAAAGAAAGAAGAGGAGAAGGCCAGGAAGUAUGAAGAAAAAAAGAAGAGGUAAGCACAUUUUUUAGAAAUAAAUGUAAAGAAAUUAAAGCUAGGUACGACAAGAAACUCGGAGAUGGAACCUGAAGAACAAUUUUUUCUUGU
rnacentral:lncRNA from 1 species